AUUUAUUUAUUAUUAUUAUUAUUAUUAUUAUUAUUAUUAUUAUUAUUAUUAUUCUCUUCUUUGUUUUUGUUGUUCUUCACAUGAUCCCAUGAUUCCCAUCACAUCACAUCACGUACCAUGCUCUCUUUUGUUUUGAUUGCUCUUUUAGUCUUUUCAGUUACUAACUAGAUGAACUUCUUAAUCUCCUAACUUAUAAAGUUUUACUAGUAGUAUAUAUUUGUAUUUAAUGUUUCUACCAAUCUAACUAAUAAAUGUUUUAUUUAAAGUAAAUCUAAUAAAUUAGUCACGAAUGGAACAAUAUAAUUGUUUUGUAUCUUGAAAUGAUAAAAUGAGAAGCGGAGGAAAUUAAAAGGAAAAAAAAAAAAAAAAGCAAAACAAAACAGAAAGAAAGCAUAAUAUUAAGUGGAAUACAACUUAGAAAAGAAUAUAAGAAUGCUGAAUUCAUGGCUAGGGAAGUCCUUCGAAAUUGAAUAGAAGAAAAAAAUGGUUAAUAUAAGAUCAUGAGUACUUAUUCCUUAUUUGACAAGAAAGGGACUAUAGCGGUUCUCAUGAAGGCAAGCAUAUACUAUUCCACACACUUUCCAAUUUCCUCAUAUUUGCAUAUUCUUUAAACGCGUUUAAUAAUAUAAUAAUAUAACUUAAAUGUGCAUCGAUUAAAUUUGAAGGAUGCCAAUUACAGAAUUACUACUCUGCAAUGGUGUGUCUUGGAGCUGUGUUUGGGUGCAAGCGCUCCAACUCAAUUGUAGGGUAUCUUUUAUCAGCCUUGGUUUCCAUAUCAAUUCUUUGUGUUUUGCGUUUGCUAUGUUAUGGCCUUUACCGCUUUCUAAAGAGGAGAGAAACAAAUACUCAUCAUCAUGAUGCUGCACAGAACACAAGGCUUGGCCAAAUAGAAUAGUGUAGUGUGUUGUAUGUGUUUGCAUUAUGAUUCAAUCUAUUUCACUUUCAUUUUUAUGUUUGUAUUAUUGUGAAAACUCAAGUGCAGUCAAUUUCACGUAAAAUUGAUAUCUAAGAGCCGUUAGAUGAUUUGACUGAUUUGACAAAAUUUUCAUCUAACAGCUCUCAAGUAUCAACUUCACGUGAAAUUGACUGCACCUGAGUUUUCACCUU